rnacentral:rRNA from 1 species
AGUGAACGCUGGCGGUAGGCCUAACACAUGCAAGUCGAACGGCAGCACAGUAAGAGCUUGCUCUUACGGGUGGCGAGUGGCGGACGGGUGAGGAAUACAUCGGAAUCUACUUUUUCGUGGGGGAUAACGUAGGGAAACUUACGCUAAUACCGCAUACGACCUACGGGUGAAAGCAGGGGAUCUUCGGACCUUGCGCGAUUGCAUGAGCCGAUGUCGGAUUAGCUAGUGGGCGGGGUAAAGGCCCACCAAGGCGACGAUCCGUAGCUGGUCUGAGAGGAUGAUCAGCCACACUGGAACUGAGACACGGUCCAGACUCCUACGGGAGGCAGCAGUGGGGAAUAUUGGACAAUGGGCGCAAGCCUGAUCCAGCCAUACCGCGUGGGUGAAGAAGGCCUUCGGGUUGUAAAGCCCUUUUGUUGGGAAAGAAAAGCAGCAGGUUAAUACCCCGCUGUUCUGACGGUACCCAAAGAAUAAGCACCGGCUAACUUCGUG